rnacentral:sRNA from 1 species
CCGCACUGGUUCGACUGGGAUACUCAUCAAUAAUUUACAUGAAACCGAGAACCGUUUCAUUUGCUAAUGGCGGGCCACGCCCUGCAAAGGGUUCCGAGAGGACGGUGGAUUACAAAGGCAAUGAACACUCAAAACCUAUUCAUUCGGAGUUUCAUCACAUCACCAGUGCGGUUCUUA